GACGAACGCUGGCGGCGUGCCUAAUACAUGCAAGUCGAACGCUUCUUUCCUCCCGAGUGCUUGCACUCAAUUGGAAAGAGGAGUGGCGGACGGGUGAGUAACACGUGGGUAACCUACCCAUCAGAGGGGGAUGACACUUGGAAACAGGUGCUAAUACCGCAUAACAGUUUAUGCCGCAUGGCAUAAGAGUGAAAGGCGCUUUCGGGUGUCGCUGAUGGAUGGACCCGCGGUGCAUUAGCUAGUUGGUGAGGUAACGGCUCACCAAGGCCACGAUGCAUAGCCGACCGGAGAGGGUGAUCGGCCACACUGGGACAGAGACACGGCCCAGACUCCUACGGGAGGCAGCAGUAGGGAAUCUUCGGCAAUGGACGAAAGUCUGACCGAGCAACGCCGCGUGAGUGAAGAAGGUUUUCGGAUCGUAAAACUCUGUUGUUAGAGAAGAACAAGGACGUUAGUAACUGAACGUCCCCUGACGGUAUCUAACCAGAAAGCCACGGCUAACUACGUG
rnacentral:rRNA from 1 species